UGUCCCUGUCUACUAUCCA
rnacentral:snRNA from 1 species